UUAUUGUGUAUUAGCUCUACAGUAUUGUUGUUGUGUUUGUGGAAAUUGUACAGUGCAGAGAAGAUACUGUGCUUGCACAAACUAGAGGUUUUCUUAAUUUUCCAUGUUGAACCAAAUUAUAUAUAAAUGUUUGUUAUUCGUGGGCUAAAAGGGGGGGGGGAAAUGGUAGCUACUUGUUGAAGUGCGGAGUCGUUAAAACACAUUAAAACUAAAUUAUUAAGAAUCAAACUUGAAUCUAUUAUGAUAUGCUUAUGUUGGUUAUAUUCUGUAUAUGCAAAUAGCAUAGUAAUUGUUUUACUCACUCCCCAUCCAAAUUUUGUUUUGAUUUUCCUCUUUUUGGAGGGAAAUGAAAGAAAGGGAGAGAAAAGAGAAAGAAGGGGUGGAUUUCAAAACUUUGAUAUGAAUUAUUGACUGCUACGUUAGCAUGGGGAUAUGAUAAGGCUGUGCAGUCUGCACUAGUAGAUCAAGCCUUCGAUGCAUAUUACAAUUUAAAGAAGAAAAUGCGGUUCUGAUUUCUGAUGAUGCAAUUUUAUUCUACUUAUGGGAUUAGGCUUUUUGUCCGCACAAUUAGCAAGUUUGAUCUAUUUUUUUGGGUGGUUUCAGAAUAUUAUGAGCAAGAUUUUGUAGUUGAACUAAUUGUUGAUUUGACGAAUUGAACUGCUCAUUUUCGUUUGGUUUUUAGUCUCUGGUGAUUUUAUUCAGACCGACCACCACUCUACGCCACUGUCGAUAUUGGUGCAUUGCUACAACGGUAUUACAUUUGUUAUAUGGGGUGUAACACAUAGCUAGGGCAAGUUCUCUUGAUUGUGAAGUGUAGCCUCUAUUUUUGUUGUUCAUUAUCUACAUAUGAUGCUUUACAAAAUUGUAUUCAAAUUAUUAUUAUUUUUAGACUAUCAACUGUUUAUAUAUAUUUCGAGAUCUGGAAACUGUGCCAGAGGUAGAAUUGUAGGCUGCAUAUAAGUUGGGACCAGUUUGCUAGAGGUUCAGUGGGUAGUGUGUAUUGCCAUGGUUAGAGAGACAGUGUAUACUAUUAGAUAAACAUAUUAAGACAGUACAAAAAAUGAUAUGGCUUUUAUCAUCUGUUAAAAUUUUAUUUUGCUUUUAGAAAAAAUAAAUCAAUUGGCAUUGUGUUUGGCCUAGUAAAUUUUGUAAAAUUUAUGGUGGUAAAACAAACUAGCUAUAUAAGUCUUGUUAAAAGUAGAGUUUGCUAUUCAUUAUAACAACAUAAAGUUUUAAGUUUGGGAUCUGGGUAUGCCAACUUAUUAGUUUUGACUAUCUGUGUUAUCUUAUCUGUUGCCAGAUCGUUACUGUAAAUAUAUCAUUGUUUGUCCCAAAAUAAUAAUUGUGCAUUAUGUCCUAAGUGCUAUUCCCUAAUUCCUCUGUAUCAUGAAUACUUUUAUUGUUUUCAAGCUAAGAUACAUCUUCCCAUAUGGUGCUGUUUUACUUCAUGCUCUUUUUGUGGAAGUACUCUUUGAAUUAUUCUAGUUGCAAAUGUAGCCAUUUGGAAUCAUUGUUCGAACCAAUAUGGAUUCUUUAACUCAAGUUGUUGCUAGUGCUAGAGAAAGGGAAUGGAUCUUUUUACAUUCUAGAAUCUAAGGUGGAUGCAAACUUCAGUUUGUAGUCAUCAUGCAUGGUUAAAUAUUGGUUUGCCAAGAGUAUGAUUACAUAGUGCUUUUGGAUCCUCUUAUUCUGAUAAUUUUUCUUUUCUCGUCAGGGAGCAGUUCAUCUCAAAGAGCUUAAUCCACAUUUCCUGCCUCUUCCAAAAUAUGUUUCUCAAAUCUCACCUGGACCAAACUAUGACUAUUAUUCGUCAACUAUGCGCUUUACAAUAUCAUCACCCGUGUAAUUGCUUUGAGGGUUGGACUGCAGCUGGCUUCAUCACUAGUUUUUAUUUUAUUUUAUUUUACUUUUUAUGUUUUUGGUGUUUUUGUUAGUUGGUUUCUUGCCAAAUUAACAAUUAGAUAUUAAUUUUUUUUUAAUCCUCUGUUAUGUAUGGAAUUAUAUUUUUGAGAUUGGAUUAUACUUGAUUUGUAUAGAUUUUUUUUUUGGAAAUAUUAAUUUGAUGUUAAA